rnacentral:rRNA from 1 species
UACGAAGGGGGCUAGCGUUGUUCGGAUUUACUGGGCGUAAAGCGCACGUAGGCGGACUUUUAAGUCAGGGGUGAAAUCCCGGGGCUCAACCCCGGAACUGCCUUUGAUACUGGAAGUCUUGAGUAUGGAAGAGGUAAGUGGAAUUGCGAGUGUAGAAGUGAAAUUCGUAGAUAUUCGCAGGAACACCAGUGGCGAAGGCGGCUUACUGAUCCAUUACUGACGCUGAGGUGCGAAAGCGUGGGGAGCAAACAGG